rnacentral:rRNA from 1 species
UUGAACGCUGGCGGCAGGCCUAACACAUGCAAGUCGCACGGUAACAGGAAACAGCUUGCUGUUUCGCUGACGAGUGGCGGACGGGUGAGUAAUGUCUGGGAAACUGCCUGAUGGAGGGGGAUAACUACUGGAAACGGUAGCUAAUACCGCAUAACGUCGCAAGACCAAAGAGGGGGACCCUCGGGCCUCUUGCCAUCGGAUGUGCCCAGAUGGGAUUAGCUUGUUGGUGGGGUAACGGCUCACCAAGGCGACGAUCCCUAGCUGGUCUGAGAGGAUGACCAGCCACACUGGAACUGAGACACGGUCCAGACUCCUACGGGAGGCAGCAGUGGGGAAUAUUGCACAAUGGGCGCAAGCCUGAUGCAGCCAUGCCGCGUGUAUGAAGAAGGCCUUCGGGUUGUAAAGUACUUUCAGCGGGGAGGAAGGGAGUAAAGUUAAUACCUUUGCUCAUUGACGUUACCCGCAGAAGAAGCACCGGCUAACUCCGUG